rnacentral:rRNA from 1 species
AAUCAACGCUGGCGGCGUGCCUAACACAUGCAAGUCGAACGAGAAAGUGGAGCAAUCCAUGAGUAAAGUGGCGACCGGGUGAGUAACACGUGACUAACCUACCUUCGAGUGGGGGAUAACCUCGGGAAACCGGGGCUAAUACCGCAUAACAUCUUUGGAGUGGAAAUUUCGGAGAUCAAAGGAGCAAUUCGCUGGAAGAGGGGGUCGCGGCUGAUUAGCUAGUUGGCGGGGUAACGGCCCACCAAGGCUUAGAUCGGUAGCCGGCCUGAGAGGGCGCACGGCCACACUGGAACUGAAACACGGUCCAGACUCCUACGGGAGGCAGCAGUGGGGAAUUUUGCGCAAUGGGGGAAACCCUGACGCAGCAACGCCGCGUGGAGGAUGAAGUCCCUUGGGACGUAAACUCCUUUCGACCCGGACGAUAAUGACGGUACGGGUGGAAGAAGCCCCGGCUAACUUCGUGCCAGCAGCCGCUGU